ensembl:lncRNA
AGAGCCGGUGCACCGACAGAGCCUGGUAUUGGCUUUGGGUCCGUGAAACACCACGGAUGCUCACAAACCCCGCGACCCGUCAACCAUCUUGACUCAAGGACCCCCCCCCACGCCCACCCCGAAUGCGGAGGGACCGGCGGGCUGGAAUCCACGACCGGCGAGUCUGCCCUCGCCUGCACACUGCAGCCUCAGCCUGGAGAGCCCCGGCACGCACCCCCGCCCCCCGCCCCCGCCCCGCCCCGUCGCGGGUCUUUUACCUUGUGGCCUUUCCCUGGGGGACACCUGACGUUGUUGGAGGCUCCCGCUGUUUGAUUCAUGUCCGGAGGAAGUUGGGGGGCCCGAUUCUCGGCCUUCAAAACUUCCUUCGCGCGUGGAGGGUGGCAAGGUGCGCGUCUCGGGGAGGCCAGGUGGGUCCUCCCUCUCCAGCCACGGCCGGGCGAGCGGAAGCCGGUUCCUCACGCCGCAGGUUUCGGCGGGGCUCCUCGCCCAGGGAUGACAGCCCGCAGCCCGGUGCUGAGGAAGGAGAAGCUGCGGCUGGGACCCCGGAGGGAGCCCGGGCGGCAGCAGCGGCUUCCAGGGCGCUCUGCCCAGCGCUGCCUUCCUGGGAAACAGUCCAGACUCUCAGGACCAGAAGCCCGAGCAAAUCGGAAAGGAGCUCCGAGGAGGGGCCAAGGAGCCCUCCACACCCUCAAAGGCUCAGGCUGGAGCCGUCAUCAGCGCAGAGCAGGCACCCCUCUCGCCUUGCAGCGGUCAUGAUCUAAUUAGUCAGCUUUCGGAUAGAGGUGGAAAACUGACCCUUGGGAACUAAGAAAAACAAAUCAAGAAAGAGCAACUGCUCCGUGAAGACUGCAUUGCAACAUUCUAGAAUUACAAGUCUGAGUGGUGGACCAGCAGCACAUUAGAAUACAGCCUUGGAGUUUAGCUAAAUGUUUUUUUCUAGAUUCCUGCAGGUAGAGAUGGCAGAGUUUGAAUAUUCUGGGUGGAAAAUCAAACCACACAACUCGGUUUCUGUUUCCAGAUCGCUCAUCCUUCGGUUCAUCAUCUGUAAAGUGAAGGAAGAUAUUGGCUUCCCCGGUGAGAACCGGAGCUGCGGUUCCUCCUCAGUCACGUUGGGGAACAGCACGUCCCCAUGGGUGCCCCUUUAGAGUAAAAAGGAGAUUUCCUUCUCAGGGGUCUGCCGAUGCUCACUGUCAUCUCCCUAGGUGGGUGUUUAGUGCUGUAUUCCAGGUACGGCAAGGUGGGAGGCGGUGGUUCAUCAGGUGGCAGGCAGUGUUAUUAACAACUACCUGGAACUGCUGAGAACGCUUCACGUUUACACACAGAUACCGCUGCUCUAUUGCACUCUCUUCUGACAGUAAAAUUCACAGUGUGAGGCAUCCUAAGAGUGUGGCACUGAGGAGUUACCACCCUCACGCUACUCUACUCUCAGCCUCCAGCAAUUCAUCACAAUUACCCCUGAAGUGUUCCUCCUGGUUUAUCUCCAGCGGCUUCUGCUCUGGCCAUGGCUGACCUCCAACUACAGGAAGUGACUGUGAUGAGGCCCAGCUGUCAUGCUUUGGAAUCCAUCACGGUGUGUGCCGAGGUCGCGCCUCCCUCCUCCCGGCCAGUAAUGGAGUGUGGCAGGCUGGUAACAAAGGCCUGCUCUUAGGAGAUGUGGGAGCUCCCUGAUGGCCAACUUUCAUUCAAGGACUGCCUGCAGAAAGAGUAUUCCGUGGGCCACACAGUGACUCAGAGAUCCAGCCAGUCUUCACUUGGCAGCUCUGUCAUCUCAACGUGUGGCUUCCAUCACCACAGCUGGAAAACCAAAAGCCAGAGAUUCAGCUUCAAGACCAUUUUCUCAUGUUCUAAAAGUUCAAAAGCAAGCACUCAGGAGAGAGUUGGCUAUGCGUUCCUGCCUUGGGUUUUCUAAGACUAACCACCUGGUGAAUUCCGCAAUCCUGUUAAAUGAUGCUCCUGAACCGAGGAGGACACAGGCAAGCCAAAGGCAGAAUGACUGUCUCCAUGAGUGAUGAGAGAGCUGCAGACCUGAUAGGCAGAUAGAGCAUUAUUAAUAGACCAGGGGUUGGUGCUGGCUAUCACCUGAGCUGCCCAGGCUCUUCUUGUGUGGCAUAAGGGACUUUCUGCCAUCAUUUGGAUUUGGAACGGUGGACGAACAUCUCCAGUAACACUGUCCAGACAAUAUAUAAAGUUGAAAAUUUACCAAAUACAGCAUAUUUAAAGGAGCUUUAUCUUUCAAAACAAUAUGCAUACAUUUUAAAGGCAAAUAAAUGAAUAUAAUACCAGUAAUUAUUGUUGAAUUAUCCUCUGUUUACUUGAGAUGGAAAUAAA